UUUACGGAGAGUUUGAUCCUGGCUCAGGACGAACGCUGGCGGCGUGCUUAACACAUGCAAGUCGAACGAUGAAGCCCAGCUUGCUGGGUGGAUUAGUGGCGAACGGGUGAGUAACACGUGAGCAACGUGCCCAUAACUCUGGGAUAACCUCCGGAAACGGUGGCUAAUACUGGAUAU
rnacentral:rRNA from 1 species